GCUGCGAUGGCCGAGUGGUUAAGGCGUUGGACUUGAAAUCCAACGCGCAGGUUCGAACCCUGCUCGCAGCG